GGAGGGAUGUCCGAGUGGUUGAAGGAGGCGGUCUUGAAAACCGUUGAGCUGACGAGGCUCCGGGGGUUCGAAUCCCUCUCCCUCCG
rnacentral:tRNA from 1 species